GAUGAACGCUGGCGGCGUGCCUAAUACAUGCAAGUCGAGCGAAUGGAUUAAGAGCUUGCUCUUAUGAAGUUAGCGGCGGACGGGUGAGUAACACGUGGGUAACCUGCACAUAAGACUGGGAUAACUCCGGGAAACCGGGGCUAAUACCGGAUAACAUUUUGAACCGCAUGGUUCGAAAUUGAAAGGCGGCUUCGGCUGUCACUUAUGGAUGGACCCGCGUCGCAUUAGCUAGUUGGUGAGGUAACGGCUCACCAAGGCAACGAUGCGUAGCCGACCUGGGAGGGUGAUCGGCCACACUGGGACUGAGACACGGCCCAGACUCCUACGGGAGGCAGCAGUAGGGAAUCUUCCGCAAUGGACGAAAGUCUGACGGAGCAACGCCGCGUGAGUGAUGAAGGCUUUCGGGUCGUAAAACUCUGUUGUUAGGGAAGAACAAGUGCUAGUUGAAUGAGCUGGCACCUUGACGGUACCUAACCAGAAAGCCACGGCUAACUACGUGCCAGCAGCCGCAGUAA
rnacentral:rRNA from 1 species